AUUGAACGCUGGCGGCAGGCCUAACACAUGCAAGUCGAACGGUAGCACAGAGAGCUUGCUCUCGGGUGACGAGUGGCGGACGGGUGAGUAACGUCUGGGAAACUGCCCGAUGGAGGGGGAUAACUACUGGAAACGGUAGCUAAUACCGCAUAACGUCGCAAGACCAAAGUGGGGGACCUUCGGGCCUCACACCAUCGGAUGGGCCCAGAUGGGAUGAGCUAGUAGGUGGGGUAAUGGCUCACCUAGGCGACGAUCCCUAGCUGGUCUGAGAGGAUGACCAGCCACACUGGAACUGAGACACGGUCCAGACUCCUACGGGAGGCAGCAGUGGGGAAUAUUGCACAAUGGGCGCAAGCCUGAUGCAGCCAUGCCGCGUGUAUGAAGAAGGCCUUCGGGUUGUAAAGUACUUUCAGCGGGGAGGAAGGCGGUGAAGUUAAUAGCUUCACCGAUUGACGUUACCCGCAGAAGAAGCACCGGCUAACUCCGUGCCAGCAGCCGCCGUAA
rnacentral:rRNA from 1 species